rnacentral:tRNA from 1 species
GGAAGCGUGCCUGAGAAAGGACUACCUUGAUAGAGUAGAUACGGAGCAUAAAACUCCCGCCUCCC